CGAUGACGUCAUAGAUACUAUCGAUGCAAGUUUUCUAACGCGCGAUUCAUUUUUAAAACAUACAUCUCGAAGAUUGUGUGUUGUUCAUCAUCACCGUGCUCAUAGGUUGUUUCAUGAUUGUUGUUUGUUCCGCGAGGAAUUGGAUAAGCAUACCGUUGUUGAUAUAAUGGCAAACAUGCGAGCUGUCUACUUAUUCGCUUGGUUUCUCGUGUACGCAGUGUGCAUAAGCCAAGCGAAUUCGAGCUCAAUAAUAUGUGAGCAUUCUUCGAUGUAUCUAUCAUGCCCAGAGGAUCUGGUCCUUGAAAUUGAUACAGCCAUAUACGGUCGUACACGUAAAGACAUCUGCCCUCAUCGCGCGAACAAGCGGACAAACUGUAAAUCGAAAACCUCCACUGAAUUCGUGAAAAAACUGUGCCAAGGGAAGCAGUUGUGCCACCUCAUUGCCAAAAAUCACAUAUUGGGCGACCCGUGUGGUGAUACUUAUAAAUAUCUGGAGGUUACAUACGAGUGCGUCUCAUAUUAUGAGUGACACUGCGUGUUGUUACGGAUUUGUAUGUGUUUCAAAGCCCUCUGUUUAUACUGUUAAGUACUUGUGAGUUCUGACGGAAACUUAUGUUAGAAACAAUUAACAGCAUUUUGCGUGUUUGACUAUUUAUCUAGUUUGUUAUAGUUCUUUGUUAUAGCUCAAUAGCAUAUACAGUUUUGAAAAAAACACUGUAUCCGGUCUAGUAGUUAAUUGAAAACAUAUAGCAAUGGAAACAAAUAUUAAUCAGGCAGAACCUCGACAUUUAAUAUUGAGACGUGAUUAUGUUUAUUCUCUUACUGCUAUUGAAGAAAGGGGCCCUGCAUGAUUGUUGUGUUUUUCUUUUAAUUCCCAUUUACCACUUAUUCAAAUAACAACCUGAAAUGCAUUAAUAACUGUCUGGUUAUCUUUUCUGUGGAAUACUUGUUAAGUCAAUAAAGAGCCAUGCAUUGUAAAAAUGCUGUGAGAGACUUGUCAUUAAGUUCCCGCUAAAACAGUGGUUCUCCUCGUCCUUUUCAAGAAAGCUAUUAAGAUGAUAAGAAACUUCUUUAAGACAUUAAUCUUGAUGAAACUUCCGCAAGCUUACAUGGGUACCUAGAACUUUGUGACAGUUGGGUCCGUGGCAAGAUCACUGUUAUUAUAUAACAGUUUCUGCUAAAUGAAUGCAAUACAGGAUGCAGAUAUGUUCCUUCAACUGUGUGUGGAGGCUGUUUACCUGCUAAUUUAACGUGGGAGUGCAAAAAUGACAAGUCAGUUCAAGUUCACCGUAACUAGAACUAGCAAUAUCGCGGGCUUAGCGCAAAACAGUCGUAACUGACUUUUUGAAAACUUUUCAGUACGACAAAAAAAAAUAAUAAGUUAUUAAUUUGUUUCAGUAAUAAAAAAAUAAUUUGCAUGAAUGUAGUUAUUGUACGUUUAUUUAAAGUUCACAAUAUAUACUUCUAUUGGCAUUAUUGUAAUCGGAGAUAUUUGUAAAAUAUCAAGAUACGACUGUUUUGCGUUUAAGAUCUUGUAAUGUUUGAUUUUGUUUUUUAUGCAAAAAGGUCUUAUCUGAAAAUCAGAUCAAUUUUUUUCUGUUCAUAUGUCUUAAUAUGAAGACUGUUAUUCUGAAUACUUGUUUAUUGAAAAAAAAAUUAAUGAUGGAAGAAAAUACAAAAAUUUACAUUUAUUUGAAUUCAAGUUGGAUUACCUGGAGUACAUGAAGUGCAUUGCAUUGUGCUUGUUUUUAACCAAUAACUAUAAAGUAUUAUCACUUUAUUUGAUUUUUUUUUAUUAUUUAAAUGUAUGCAGACAUACUAGUAACAGAAAUAUUAUCAUUACACAGUGACUGGGGGCCUGUACAGAAUUAUUAAGUUGAAGACCAAUACAUAAGAAGCAACAAGUUAUUGUCAUAUCUUUAAAUCUUUCAUAAAGCAUUUAAUAUUUGUAUUGUAAUUAUUAUAAUUCAAUAGAGUUCAAGUCAAAGCAAGACUUAUCAGCUUAUUUUAAUUUAAAAAAAUAAUGAACUUUGUUAUUAAAAGCAGGCCUAUAACCCUCUUUCUGAAUUCAAAUACAAACUACAAUGUAUUCAAAUAUAUUUAUUCAGUUUUCACGAUAGUUCAUUUUAUCCACUAGCCAUUCGGGCUACUGGAAUGGUAAAGGCAAGUAGCCCAGCAGCAAAAUUACUAGCCCAAAGUAAAUUUGUUAAAAUAUACACCCUGGUAAAGGGUUUCAUCAAUAGCAGAUAAUCUGUUAAAAGUAUAAUUGUAUCCAGGGUAUGUUAACUGUAAAGCCUAUUGCAAAAACAAUUGCAACACAAUACAACAAGUCAAUGUAAUUAUGUACUUUAUUAAUUAUAAGUCUUUAACAUGUGAUAAACAACUUCUUCGUUCAUCUCAUCAUCACUGCAAUCCUGGAGAUCCUCUUUGUCAAAAACCAUAUCCUGUAAAACAAGCAACCUGAUAGUUAUUUUCCAGAAGUUUACUUGACAAGUGAAGGCAUAGAUGGCAUACUUUUAUCAUACAUGUUGACUUUUUUCUUAUGCUGUGUUUUUAAGCGUAGCUUAUUAAACUCUGUCUUACAGAA